rnacentral:rRNA from 1 species
UACGGAGGGGGCUAGCGUUGUUCGGAAUUACUGGGCGUAAAGCGCGCGUAGGCGGCUUGGCAAGUUGGGGGUGAAAGCCCGAAGCUCAACUUCGGAAUUGCCCUCAAAACUGCCUGGCUAGAGGCAGAGAGAGGAGAGCGGAAGAUCCAGUGUAGAGGUGAAAUUCGUAGAUAUUGGAUGGAACACCGGUGGCGAAGGCGGCUCUCUGGCUCUGUACUGACGCUGAGGUGCGAAAGCGUGGGGAGCAAACAGG